ACAGGCAACGCCCUUGUCAGCUGUAGUUCUUUUUCAAUAUGGGGUAUGAGAAGGAGGAGAAAAGCAAAUCUUUCGCAUUAUUACCUAAACAUUCGUACUGGUUUGAUUUCUACCUGUUUAUUCUUUUUAAUAUUGCAUUUUUCCUUGUGAUCUAUUUUUUAGUCCCCUAACACUGCGGAUGAGGCCAAACUCCGUUACUGGGACCAAACAUGGAGCAGUGGUUACAUCUGUAAAUGUUUUCUGGGAGGUCGGCCGUGUGGAAGCUUAAGCACCAUGGGAUCCUGCCACCAGCAGUUUUUAAAAUGCUAAUUUACUGUAAUUUUCUUUUUCCCCUCCCUAAAAUCAAAAUGUUUCCAUCUUGACAUUUUCGCAGUAAUUCUGGCUUUUGAGAAGCAUCUACAUUUUAUUAUACAUGGAUUCAAACGCGCUUUAGACCUGACCGGCAGGCCUAGAGCUGUAAUUAUAAUACACGAGCCAAAGCCAUUUAUAACUGGAUCAGUUAUUUUCUAUAAAAUCGCGACCUAAAACUGACGCAUGAAUCAGAGUUUGUAAAUGAUCUCAGGAAAGCUCUGUGGAACUGGUCAGGGUAUAGUUUCUCCAGCUUGCAAAAUGUAAAUAAAGAACUACAUUUGUAUGGUUAAACAAUUGACGUUUAUUUACACAUUUAAAUCCAUUAAAAAUGAAAUUGACAUUACAAAAA